UCCGAUAUGGUCCAACGGUUAGGAUCCCACGCUUUCACCGUGGUGGUCGGGGUUCGAUUCCCCGUAUCGGAG